rnacentral:rRNA from 1 species
GACAGAGGAGGCUAGCGUUGUUCGGAAUCACUGGGCUUAAAGCGGGUGUAGGCGGCCCUGCAAGUACUUUGUGAAAUACUCCGGCUCACCCGGAGAACUGCUGAGUAUACUGCGGGGCUUGAGGCAGGUAGGGGUCACUGGAACUCUAGGUGGAGCGGUGAAAUGCGUAGAUAUCUAGAGGAACGCCUAAGGCGAAAGCAGGUGACUGGGCCUGUCCUGACGCUGAGAUCCGAAAGCGUGGGGAGCAAAC